AAUGCUUUGCCUUUCUUCUUUAUUCUUUAGCUUUGUGGGAACUUAGCUCUUUUGCGAUAUGUUCAGCUAUACAGACAAGUAGCAUGUUGGAAUAGGCUCCGGCUUCACGUAGAGCGUGGAGACGAGUAGAACCUCUUGCACUGCUACUGAGUAGAAUGUAUCCAGAGAAACUAGUCAGCUUUCAACCAGCCUUCAAUGGACUGCAAGCAAGUUUACGUGGAGAUACCGACAGCGGUCGUUCCAAAUUGGGAGUGCUUUCAAGACGGUAGCGAGCCCACCGCUAUGCAUUCAAAGGUCCUUCCUCGUUAUAACAAGCCCGGUUAGCACGCAAGCCCAGUAGUCACAGAAAUCUGAAGUCACCUCGCAAAGCUUGGUCUACACAACUGUUUACAAGUCCGCUUACAAGUUCAGCGUAAUGCAAUGGAUAAAGAUACUCUACUCACGACCAUGACAGCAUGUAACAGUUACAUGCAUAGUCACUUGUACAGCUAUGAUCAGCUGACAUCACUUCUAUACCAGUGGAUAGUUCUACUUUGUGAUAAGUAGGCGUUCAAAGUCUCGUCGGCCGCUCAUACACGUUUAUACCAGCAAGGUGUACACUACUGCGAUCAGCACAGAAGAGUUGUAGAAUGUUUGCAACUGUCUACACUACUUGGUGCCGUCUCUGAUUGAGGACGAGAGGAAGUAGGGCAUUGGAUCCAUUGUGUUCCUGCUCGAGUUCGGCAACUGUGCUGUGUACAUGUGUGUGUGUGUGUGUGUGUGUGUGUGUGUGUGUGCGUGCGUGCGUGUGUACGUGUGUGUGUGUAUGUGUGUGUAUGUAUGUGUGUAUGCCCCCAACAUUAAUGCAAGGAGGAACACAGCAAGCCGAAAGCAGACCAGGUUGGGAGCAGUCAAUGCCCCACGUGUCUGCAGUGGUUCAGUAGCGCCAGAGGCCUCGCUGUCCACAAGUGUGUACCCGACGAUCGCUCUACAUGCCCAACUGCGGGCCCUUCAUCAUAUGCGUGCAAUUCUGUCGCAGCAGUACCCAUGCCGGCGGGUACUCAGCUCUCACAACCCUGCUGCCAGGCUCAUUGCAGCGUAAGGGGCAGAUGUUGCCGGUAGAAGAGGGGUUUUCAACUUCACAGCAAUGCGAAGUAUAACAACUCCACAGCUGUGCGAAGUAUAACUCCACAGCAGUGCAAAGUAUAACAUAACUCUUGUUGGCUGCCAACCCGCGGAGCUUGCUUUGUACCGUACUCAACCAACCUACUCCAUGUUUGCUGGCCUCUCGUACCAGGGGACAUGUGACCCUAUUACGGCAAUGUUCAGGACAGGACAGAGUUGCCAGUUCAGGCGUAGACUUGAUCCGUAUAAAAUGCUGCUAUAUGAUAUCAGAUCAAGCCUGUAAAUGCCAUGCCGGGCGCUGUGCACCCUUAGACCUGCAAAUAUUUAAACGUGAACUAGCGCAGGGCACAACCGUGACUCCGGCAUAAGAUCAUAAUAUUUCAUUGGGCAGCACUGCAGUUUUCUCUGCUGCUUGGUUCAGGAUAUCUAACAUAUUCCUCUACCCUAAAAAUCAAUUACAAUGAGCUAGCCUUGUAAUCUGUAUCCAUGUUUUCAAUUCUUGUUUGGGUAUUUACUGUAAAAGCAAUAUUAUAUACCGUAGAAUCCCGCGUAUAAGCCCAGGGAAAGUUCGAACAUCACAAGGCUUCGUUGUACAAGCCCAUGGGCCUAUUUCGUAUCGAGAGUCCAUAAAUUAUGGACUCUUGGUCGUAUCAUGUACAUGUAUGUAGUACAUGGUGGUUUUUUUUGUACAUUUCAACACAAUCAUCGGUUGUUUUGUUUGCACAGUGGCUUUCAGAAAUGUACUUCUCACUUCCUUGGUACUUUUCAAUAGCACAACUUGGUGUCGGCGUAUAAGCCCAUG